rnacentral:rRNA from 1 species
CAGAGGGUGCAAACGUUGUUCGGAAUUACUGGGCAUAAAGAGCACGUAGGUGGUUCACUAAGUCACGUGUGAAAUCCCCGGCUUAACCGGGAAGUUGCGCGUGAUACUGGCGAACUCGAGGCGGGUAGGGGUGAGCGGAACUCCAGGUGGAGCGGUGAAAUGCGUAGAUAUCUGGAGGAACACCGGUGGCGAAAGCGGCUCACUGGACCCGAUCUGACACUGAGGUGCGAAAGCUAGGGUAGCAAACGGGAUUAGAUACCCCGGUAGUCCUAGCCGUAAACGAUGGGCGACUGGGCAGGGGGGAGUACCUAUGUCCUCUCUGCCGGAGCUAAUGUGUUAAGUGCCCCGCCUGGGGAGUACGCUCGCAAGGGUA